GGAUAACCUACCCUUAGGACCGGGAUAACCUUGGGAAACUGAGGCUAAUACCGGAUAGGCAAUUUUUCCUGUAAUGGUUUUUUGUUUAAAUGUUUUUUCGCCUAAGGAUGGGUCUGCGGCCGAUUAGGUAGUUGGUUAGGUAAUGGCUUACCAAGCCGUUGAUCGGUACGGGUUGUGAGAGCAAGAGCCCGGAGAUGGAACCUGAGACAAGGUUCCAGGCCCUACGGGGUGCAGCAGGCGCGAAACCUCCGCAAUGUGAGAAAUCGCGACGGGGGGAUCCCAAGUGCCAUUCUUAACGGGAUGGCUUUUCAUUAGUGUAAAAAGCUUUUGGAAUAAGAGCUGGGCAAGACCGGUGCCAGCCGCCGCGGUAACACCGGCAGCUCUAGUGGUAGCAACUUUUAUUGGGCCUAAAGCGUCCGUAGCCGGUUUAAUAAGUCUCUGGUGAAAUCCUGUAGCUUAACUGUGGGAAUUGCUGGAGAUACUAUUAGACUUGAGACCGGGAGAGGUUGGAGGUACUCCCAGGGUAGAGGUGAAAUUCUGUAAUCCUGGGAGGACCGCCUGUUGCGAAGGCGUCUAACUGGAACGGUUCUGACGGUGAGGGACGAAAGUUAGGGGCGCGAACCGGAUUAGAUACCCGGGUAGUCCUAACUGUAAACGAUGCGGACUUGGUGUUGGGGGUGGCUUUGAGCUGCUCCAGUGCCGAAGGGAAGCUGUUAAGUCCGCCGCCU
rnacentral:rRNA from 1 species